rnacentral:misc_RNA from 1 species
AAGCUUUAUAACUAACAGAAUUAUGAAGAUAAAAAGAGUACAAAUUUAUCCAACAAUUAGCCUGCAUAAACCAAACUUAAGAGAACUUAACUAUCUCGAAAAGCUGGCAAACUCAAAAUGAAGGUGGUUUCGAAACCAGAAGUGCUCAACUACAGAGUGUUCAGAAAUCAAAUGUAAAUAGAUAUCGAAAGCUGCAUUUUUCGACAACAAUAUUUUCCUCCAACUUGCAACAUGCUGCAGAAAAGAAAAAGAGUCUUCACAGCCUCCUUCCCCUUCUACCACCCUUUCUGCGAGUACUAUCGGUGGGAAUUGGAGUAACAUCCUCUAUACGUCCAAUUUUCAUGCCAGAACGAGCCAAAGCUCUAAGAGCGGACUGGGCACCAGGACCAGGAGUCUUGGUCUUGUUGCCUCCUGUAGCUCGGAGCUUAAUGUGAAGAGCAUUAAUUCCAAGUUCCUUGCAUCGCUGUGACACAUCCUGAGCUGCAAGCAUAGCAGCAUACGGAGAAGACUCAUCUCUGUCAGCCUUCACCUUCAUGCCACCAGUAAUGCGAACCAUUGUUUCGCGUCCAGACAAAUCAGUCACAUGAAUGAAUGUGUCAUUGAAAGAGGCGAAAAUGUGAGCAACACCAAAGACCAAUUCACCUUCCCUGGUAGCUGGUCCAAGGGUAACAGUCUCUUCCUUGGGCUCUCUGGUCUUUCUCCUCGACAUGGCUAAGGUUGAUUUGCAGGUGUGCUGCUGCUGCUGCUGCUGAAGCUUGAAAAACCCUAGCUGCAAU